rnacentral:rRNA from 1 species
CUCAGAACGAACGCUGGCGGCAGGCUUAACACAUGCAAGUCGCACGCUUUCUUCGGAAAGAGUGGCGCACGGGUGAGUAACGCGUGGGAACGUGCCCUGAAGUACGGAAUAACACAUGGAAACGUGUGCUAAUACCGUAUACGCCCCAAGGGGGAAAGAUUUAUCGCUUCAGGAUCGGCCCGCGUCCAAUUAGAUAGUUGGUGAGGUAACGGCUCACCAAGUCGACGAUUGGUAGCUGGUUUGAGAGGAUGAUCAGCCACACUGGGACUGAGACACGGCCCAGACUCCUACGGGAGGCAGCAGUGGGGAAUAUUGGACAAUGGGCGGAAGCCUGAUCCAGCCAUGCCGCGUGAGUGAAGAAGGCCUUCGGGUUGUAAAGCUCUUUCAGACGUGAAGAUUAUGACGGUAACGUCAGAAGAAGCCCCGGCUAACUUCGUGCCAGCAGCCGCGGUAAACGCACUCGU